ensembl:lncRNA
CUGCUACAUGUAUUUGCGAUAGAUAUAAGUAUGCUUGUAUACAUAUAUGUAUGUAUAUAUACAGUGGAUAUAAAAAGUCUACACACCCCUGUUAAAAUGCCAGGUUUUUGUGAUUUAAAAGAAUAAGACAAAGAUAAAUCAUGUUAGAACUUUUCCCACUUUUUAAUGUGACCUAUAAUGUGAACAAUUCAAUUGAAUAAAAAAAAUUAUAAAAAUAAAAACAAUUACUCGUUUAACUGGUCUGACCAACAGCUGAAUGUUGACACUAGGUGUGGCCCAUUGGUUUGAUUUAGAAAUAACGCUCAUCUUCAGGUUUAUACCAUGGCUCCAUAGCUCAGUGGUUAGAGCACUGGUCUUGUAAACCAGGGGUCGUGAGUUCAAUUCUCACUGGGGCCUUGAUCAAAUGGUCUGAUAUUUUGAUACAGGUCAAUUUCAUCCUGGCUUCUAUGUCCUAUCCUAGUGAGUUAAUCAGAUGCCUUAACCUAGCCUACUAUUGAGUCAAUCAUCGGAUGCUAUAACCGGGCCUACUACUGAUGUUAAUAAUUAAACCUUGCCAAGGGAAUUAAAGUACGAUAUUGCCAGAUAUUUGAGUCAUGUUCCUGUGGUAAUGAUGAAUGUUGUUGGGUCAUGUUUCUCUGGUAAUGAUGAAUGUUGUUGGGUCAUGUUUGUGUUGUGGCUUGAACUCUUCUGAGGUCAUAUGAGAGAACAGCAUGUAAGCUAAUUUCGUGGACUUUUAUUGGUUCUUUUCAUUUACGUAGAUUGUGUCUCCUAAAGUUUUAAAUAGAUUAAAGAGGAGCUUACUGCUAUCGACAUUACUUCUCUCUCUGUCUGUCUCUCUCUCUAAUCUUGGUGGAUUAACAGCACAGGUUAAUCGACCUCUGGUCACGUUCAGGGGACAGAGUAAAGACAAGGCGCCGUUGAAGAAAGAGAAAGACAGAUCGUUGAAGGAGAGAAGCUGAAGCUGUUUAUAACCUGCACGGCCAGGACCCUGGUGACAAUCCCCCGACGACCAGUCUACCUGAACAAGGUGCUCCGUAUUGAAGGUGCUGGGCGUCCUUCGGUAAUUACCUCAAGACCAUGUCCAAGGACCACUGUGAAUCGGUGGUGGUCAGUGUAGAGUCCCUCCUCAGCGACGCGGUCAAGAUGCAAUCUCAGUGUCGGGAGCGGAGUGACCAGCUGGCCAUCGCAGCCGCCGCCCUGAGGGAGGAGUCUGUCUUCCUGAGAGAACAGUGUCAGGCCACUCAGCUGGAUAUGGUCCGGAUGAGAAGACAGCUGGACGAACUGUUGGACACAAAGACUCAAAUGGAGGCCAGCGACAGGAUGCAACGCAAGCUCAGCAAAACUCUCUAAAGGAAAGGGCUGAGAAGAGGGGGGGGGGUGUGUGGGUGUGUGGAGAGGGUGGGUGAGAGAAGGGGAGGGGAUGGAGGGAGAGAGAGAUGUGGAUGUUGUGAGUAGGAGGUGUAGGGGAGAGGAACUGUUGAAUACCAGAUGGAGACCAAGGAUAAAAGUAUAGGGCGAACCCCAAACUCCCCAAGACACUGACAGGUGAGAGAUGGGGAAGCAGAGAGAUAUGGGGGUGAAAAGAGAGAGGGGGUAGACAGACGGAGUCGAGAGACAGAGGGGUAGAGAAACAGGAGGGAAGAGAGACAAGGUAGAGAGACAGGGGGUAGAGAGACAGGGGUUAAAGAGACAGGGGGUAGAGAGACAGGGGGUAGAGAGACAGGAGGUAGAGAGACAGGGGGUAGAGAGACAGGAGGUGGAGAGACAAGGUAGAGAGACAGGAGGUAGAGAGACAAGGUAGAGAGACAGGGGGUAGAGAGACAGGGGGUAGAGAGACAGGAGGUAGAGAGACAGGGGGUAGAGAGACAAGGUAGAGAGACAGGGGGUAGAGAGACAGGGGGUAGAGAGACAAGGUAGAGAGACAGGGGGUAGAGACAGGGGGUAGAGAGACAAGGUAGAGAGACAGGGGGUAGAGAGACAGGGGGUAGAGAGACAGGGAGUAGAGAGACAGGAGGUAGAGAGACAGGGGGUAGAGAGACAAGGUAGAGAAACAGGGGGUAGAGAGACAGGGGGUAGAGAGACAAGGGGUAGAGAGACAGGGGGUAGAGAGACAGGGGGUAGAGAGACAAGGUAGAGAGACAGGGGGUAGAGAGACAGGGGGUAGAGAGACAAGGGGUAGAGAGACAAGGUAGAGAGACGGGGUAGAGAGACAGGGGGUAGAGAGACAAGGUAGAGAGACGGGGUAGAGAGACAGGGGGUAGAGAGACCAGCCUUUUAGGGUAGAGAGGCUGUAAAAGAGAAGGAAGGGCAGGAACCAAAGCAGGUCUGGACACAGAAGAGUAAAUGUGUAGAACAGAAACAGUGUUUGGUUUCUAUACUUUU